GACACUUUGGCCGAGUGGUUAAGGCGAUGCCCUGCUAAUCCAGCUAUCAGGCAUUGGGGUUUCCCCGCGUGUGUUCGAAUCGCACAGGUGUCG